rnacentral:misc_RNA from 1 species
UUGUUGAAGAUAUGGAACAUGAACAAAUAUACAGGAGUUCUAGGAGUUUACAAUUGCCAAGGUGCGGCCUGGAACAGUGUUGAAAGGAAGAAUACCUUCCACCAAACCAACUCUGAUGCUUUAACUGGAGCCAUCAAGGGCCGUGAUGUCCAUCUCAUUGCUGAAGCAGCCACAGAUUCCGACUGGAACGGUGACUGUGCUGUCUACUGCCACCGGACUGGUGAAAUUACCAUUCUCCCUUAUAAUUCAGCCUUGCCGGUGUCACUCAAAGUCCUUGAGCAUGACAUCUUCACUGUGACACCCAUCAAGGUUUUAGCACCUGGGUUUAGCCUCGCACCUUUUGGGCUCAUUGACAUGUACAACGCUGGUGGAGCCAUUCAGGUGCUUAAGUAUGAAGUGAAAGAAGGAGCAAAACUAUCAGAGCUUGAUGAAAACAGUGCUGCGAGUGAUGGAAGGGUGGAGAAUUGCAGUGGUGAAAUAGUAGGUAAAAUUUGCAUGGAGGUUAAAGGGUGUG